rnacentral:lncRNA from 1 species
GCCGGGAGUGCCCUUCCUUCCCUCUUCACCACACCCUGCUGCUGCUUCCGAAUGAGCCUAUAAACGAACGGGCGGGUUCCAGGGCCGGCACCAUCGGGAGAGCACAGGAUGAGCCCGAUGCGUCCUGUGUCGCCAGAAGGGAAGGAGGCGCUCACCGACCGAUAUGGGGUGUGCAAGGGCUCAGGAGCCAGCCCGGAGGAGCUCCCGGCCCCCCAGGCUGGAGCAAUAAUGAGCGCAGAGGUAGUGCUGUUGGACGAUAACUGUUUUCGUAGCUGAACACCCACGAGUCCAUAGCGCUAUAAAGAAACAGCAGCCAAGUCGGUGAGGGAGAAGGGACGGCCCUUUCCUGUAGAAAUAUCACAAGAGAUGUAGUAGGGGUGAGGGAAGCCGGGGAGCGACUCGAGGCAGACGCCACCAUGGUGCCUCCGCCGUGGCGGUCACCGCGAGAUUGGACGGUGCUAAGAUCAGCGAGCGGAAGCUGAACUGCUUCACAUCUCUCCCCCAAGACGUUUGCCGAUUAACGGGAACAAAUAGUGACUUCACAGUGGAGAAACUCGGUCGACGCCCCGCAGCCAGGUGAUGAAGCCACGGCAUAGUCCCCGAUGUAGCGACGCGUUGAGAAAGGCCCGACAUCACUUCUGUGGUUUUCUCGCCAGGAUCCUGGGAGCAGGUCAGAGAAAUACAGCAGGACAUUGUUCAGCGGAACAGAGUGCUCUCCCAAAGGGCCACGCUCCCGGCAGAUGAGGCAGUCCUCAGGAGCUGUCCCAGAUUGGAGGUGUGUGAGGAGCAUGACAGCCAAACGCGACGUGGGGCUCUGGACUGGCCCAGACCGGGAAGAGUGCGUUAGUGGAAAACAUGAAAUCUGAAUCAAGUCCAGAGUCAGUUGACGGCGUGCGCCACGGACUGAAUAUUCACGUUUUCCCCAAACUUGGCCUUUGAAACCUAAUCCCCAGUGUGAUGGUGUCUGGAGGCGGGACCUGCGGGAGGUGCUGAGGUCCUAAGAAAUGGAGCCCUCCUGAAUGUGACCCGCGCCCUCAUAGAAGAGCCUAGAGAACCAGCGUGUCCCUUCUGCCACGCGAGGACGCCGAGAGAAGACAGCUGUCUGUGAACCAAGAGGCGGGCUUCCGCCAGGCACCAACCUGCCGAAGCCUUGGCUUUGGACUCCAGCCUCCAGGACCGUGGGAAGCACACGCUUGUCGUUCUGGCUCCCCGGCCUGUGUUAUUUUGUUCCGGCGGCCCCACCAGACCGAGACAGUAUUGCACCAGAAUUAGCUACCUGGCUUUGAUAUUUAUGCCAUAGAUCUGUAAGGCGUUAACGGCGGGAAAAGCUGGGCAAAGCAUUUGCGAAUUGUCUGCGCUUUGUUUUGCUUUCUUUUGUUUGCCAGAUUCAGGUGGGCCAGGGUGAAUUCAUCCUUCUCCUGGGCUGGGGGAGCAAGGGGAGUCCACGUCCGGGCUGCCCUCGUGUCCCGGAAUGGGGCGAGCUGAUGGGAAGCUCGGGUGGAUGCCCCUCAUGGGCUCUCGGGUGCCCAACCUGCCUUUCCCGGCUUGGCGAGUACGGAUGUGUCCGGCAGGGACAGGCUCGGCAGACUGGAGAGCGGCGAGGAGCCCGGGUUGGGGGGCUUACGGAUGAGCAGGAGGAAGGUGGCAGGAGGCGAGCUUGGACAGAUGGCCAGCGUGUCAUGGGGGCCACAUCAGGUGAGGUUAGAGAAGGAAUCCUCACCCACCCCUUCGUAUCUCCCACCUCCAUUUAGUACGGUUUGAGUAUCCUUUUGGGUUUUUCUCAAUUACCUGUGUAGCAUUAUGUCCUAUUUCCUACUUAAAGCUCUGUAUCUGGUCCAGCAGCUUGGAUGGUUUCUGCGUCCUCUCCCACCCCAGAAGAGAGGGAUCCCACCCUCCCCUCGGCCUCCCAUGCCUCCACCGCCUCCUGGCUCACAUCACCUAUGCAUUUGCCUGGACAUUGUCCAGGUUGCUGCUUAUCAUUAGACGAGAUUGUGUUGCUUGUAGGCUGAUGCCAAAGUCUAGAAGUCAAUCAGCAAUAUUUUCCCUUUAUGGCUGCUAUAUGAGUUUUAUUUGUUGAACAACCUUUUGAACGAGCAUUUUCUCUCUUAAUGCCCGAUGGCCUUAAGGCAAAUGAUUACAUUCCAUGAAUAGCCCAAGAUGUUGCCAUAGUUUUCUUUGGGCCAUAUUUGCACAGCUCAUGGUUACAGCUUUUCAUUUUAUUUAUUGAGUUUCUGAUUGCCUUUAUUUUUUCUCAUUUUCUAAAGAGCGUGCCUUCAUCGUAUCGUCACGUUGACACAGCCUCUCAUGGUAGAUCUUGCCCCAGAUGCCCGCCUUUUCCCCUGGAGUGGUCAGUCCCAGAGCUCUCCAGCCUCUUUGCUGUCCAGGCCUGCUGCCCGGCCGUCACCGUGGACAUCACCCCACGAGCCUCCGGACUGGCCCGCUGCUCAGCUGGUCCCAUGCUUCCCCUGUUCUCGGUGUCCUUGGUUCUCUGACAUACGUUACAAGCAGGUCCUCAGAAAGGGGAGUCUUUGCGCUCUAAGAAGGCCUUUAAUUUGCCGUCCUAGCGGAUGUAGACUUGUAGAUCCCAAGUCUCCCCUCAGAUUGUGAAGGCGCAGCUCUGUUAGUGUCUUGCUGUUGACAGUUUGAUGACGCUCCCUUUGUAAGAGUCAUGAGUUCAAUUUCUGGAUGCUUUUAACAUCCUUCUUUAUCCCUAAUGUUCUGUCUCAGUCGGUUGGGCAUCCGACUUGGGCUCAGGUCAUGAUCUCACGGUUCGUGGGUUCAGGCCCCGCGUCGGGCUCUGUGCUGACAGCUCGGGGCCUGGAGCCCG